GAAAUACACAGCCAUGUUGCUCACACGAAGCCUGUUUGUUGGUCUCUUCACACAGACGCGCAUGAAAUUUGGUGCUGUGACUCGGAUUGGGGGACCUCCCUUGGGAGAUCAAUCCCCUGUACUCCUGUUCUUUGCUCCGUGAGAAAGAUCCACCUAUGAUCUCAGGUCCUCAGACCGACCAGCCCAAGGAACAUCUCACCAAUUUUAAAUCAGGUAAGCGGCCUCUUCUUACUCUCUUCUCCAACCUCUCUCACUGUCCCUCAACCACUUUCUCCUUUCCACUCUUCAAUCUCUCCCUUCUCUUAAUUUCAAUUCCUUUCAUUUUCUGGUAGAGACAAAGGAGACACGUUUUAUCCGUGGACCCAAAACUCCGGCGCCAGUCACGGACUGGGAAGGCAGCCUUCCCUUGGUGUUUAAUCAGUGCAGGGACGCCUCUCUGAUUAUACACCCACGUUUCAAGGGUGUCAGACCACGCAGGGACGCCUGCCUUGGUCCUUCAACCUCAGCGGCAAGUCCCGCUUUUCUGGGGUAGGGGCAAGUAGCUCAACCCCUUCUCUCCUUGUCUCUACCCCUUCUCUGCUUUUCUGGGAGAGGGGCAAGUACCCCUCAACCCCUUCUCCUUCACCCUUAGCGGCAAGUCCCGCUUUCCUAGGGGGCAAGAAGCCCCCAAUAGCUUAUUUCCGCACCCCAACCUCUUAUCUCUGUGCCCCAAUCCCUUAUUUCCGCACCCUGACCUCUUAUCUCUGUGCCCCAAUCCCUUAUUUCCGUGCCCCAACUCCUUCUCUGCUUUUCUGGAGGGCAAGAACCCCCCACCCCUUCUCCGUGUCUCUACUCUUCUCUGGGCUUGCCUCCUUCACUAUGGGUAAGCUUCCACCUUCCAUUCCUCCUUCUUCUCCCUUAGCCUGUGUUCUCAAAAACUUAAAACCUCUUCAACUCACACCUGACCUAAAACCUAAAUGCCUUAUUUUCUUCUGCAAUGCCGCUUGACCCCAAUACAAACUCGACAGUAGUUCCAAAUAGCCAGAAAAUGGCACUUUGAAUUUUUCCAUCCUGCAAAAUCUAAAUAAUUCUUGUCAUAAAAUAGGCAAACGAUCUGAGGUGCCUGACGUCCAGGCAUUCUUUUACACAUCAGUCCCGUCCUAGUCUCUGUGCCCAGUGCAACUCGUCCCAAAUCUUCCUUCUUUCCCUCCCGCCUGUCCCCUCAGUACCAACCCCAAGCGUCGCUGAAUCUUUCUAAUCUUCCUUUUCUACAGACCCACCUGACCUCUCCCUUCCUCCCAGGCUGCUCCUCGCCAGGCCGAGCUAGGUCCCAAUUCUUCCUCAGCCUCUGCUCCUCCACCCUAUAAUCCUUUUAUCACCUCCCCUCCUCACACCUGGUCCGGCUUACAGUUUCGUUCCGUGACUAGCCCUCCCCCACCUGCCCAGCAAUUUACUCUUAAAAAGGUGGCUGGAGCUAAAGGCAUAGUCAAGGUUAAUGCUCCUUUCUCUUUAUCCCAAAUCAGAAGCGUUUAGGCUCUUUUUCAUCAAAUAUAAAAAUCCAGCCCAGUUCAUGGCUCGUUCGGCAGCAACCCUGAGACACUUUACAGCCCUAGACCCUAAAAGGUCAAAAGGCCGUCUUAUUCUCAAAAUACAUUUUAUUACCCAAUCUGCUCCCAACAUUAAAUAAAACUCCAAAAAUUAAAUUCCGGCCCUCAAACCCCACAACAGGAUUUAAUUAACCUCGCCUUCAAGGUGUACCAUAAUAGAAAAAAGUUGCAAUUCCUUGCCUCCACUGUGAGACAAACCCCAGCCACAUCUCCAGCACACAAGAACUUCCAAACGCCUGAACCGCAGCGGCCAGGUGUUCCCCCAGAACCUCCUCCCCCAGGAGCUUGCUACACGUGCCGGAAAUCUGGCCACUGGGCCAAGGAAUGCCCGCAGCCCGGGAUUCCUCCUAAGCCGCGUCCCAUCUGUGCGGGACCCCACUGGAAAUCGGACUGUUCGACUCACCUGGCAGCCACUCCCAGAGCCCCUGGAACUCUGGCCCAAGGCUCUCUGACUGACUCCUUCCCAGAUCUUCUCGGCUUAGCGGCUGAAGACUGACGCUGCCCGAUCGCCUCAGAAGCCCCCUAGACCAUCACCGACGCUGAGCUUCGGGUAACUCUCACAGUGGAAGAUGAAGAAACUGGGGCUCUGAAUGGCAUAUUAACGCGUGCAGCUCCAGACAGCGAGGAAGUGAUGGCAACUCUAUCCGAACUCAAAUCUGCCAGACCUAUACCAGUAGGUGCCUGUGUGCAGUUGGGGACUCACCUCUGCCAGUGCUGGCAUGAGCUAGCUGUCUUGAACUGAAAACAGACACUCAAAGAUGGGCUGUGGGAUCCCAGAGAGGUGGCAGAAUGGUCAAAGCUAUGAAGCCAACAGCUGCUGCCAACAAGAAAGUCCUGAGCCCUGAGUGAUUGUAAUUUAAACUUAAUGCUGGGAGUGGGUGUUUAUUUUGGAGGAGUGGGCUGCUUAUUUUUGGUUUGGGGACUUGUUCAUUCAUCUUUUCUCAGCGGCGCCUACUGCUGCCCUGGCCCGAAGUUAAAGCUCAAUAAAUCACUGUUGCACAACUGA
rnacentral:lncRNA from 1 species